rnacentral:lncRNA from 1 species
GAAUCACACCACCAGCUGGCCUGGGGCUCCAGCUUGCAGACAGCAGAUCCUGGGACUUCUUGGCCUCCAUAAUUCUGACCAACUACGCAGAUCACUGACUGGCUGACUUUGGUUAAAGUGGGUGGACGAUGGAGAGCGGAGUGGAACUGCUCAGAUACAGGCAAGCUGGGGAGAAGCCUUUUGAGAGUGGGAGGUGUCUUCUUGCUCUCCUCACACCUUUUCUAGAAACAGGAUGCGUGGAUUUGCCUUCUACCUCCCUGGAUGGAGGCAAUGUGAAUCUGUGCCGAGCUGAGGAGCCAAGACCUGGGACCAGGGGAGACCCAGGAAGAAGCAAGGAGAAGCAAGCCUUAGACGCCAAGGAUGUGGGCAUGACCACCAAGUGAAAUGAGGCAGCAUUGGUGGUUCAGAUGGACAGUACAAACCAGACCCCUUGGCUAGCCUAAUUUGAUUAUGGUUCAUGUCAUUCACAUCGUUCCCUGUGUCUGGGCUGGAGCUGUGGUGGGGGGAGCAGUCAGCUCCCUGUGCUGGGCCUGGGCCUGGAAAACAUCAGGCUGUGGCUGACCGUACAUAAACAACCAGCCACUCCUGGGCUGAGGACAGUUUUCCACUCACCUGGCUCCAGAUUUCCAGGGCCCAUGUCAGUCUAUCUGUGUUUACGUCUUGGCCCUGUGAGUGGAGUCUCCUUCCUGGGGAGGCCUAUUCUUAGAGCCCAUGACCUAUGCCUGCUUACUCUCCACAAGACGAGGGGCUGGGCAGUCACACUUGAGCCCUUCAGAACAUUUCAACCCUUUUGAGAGAGGCUGCUAGGAUCUGUCUCCUUGGGCUAGAGCAGCGCUGGUGGGGAGUCAAUAUUAUGGGCCUAGUAGAUAAUCCUUCAUGGUGUGAACAGAGGGGAGGAAAUGUCCCCCUGGUCAAAUACAUUUGUGCUCCCUUAUGUUGCUCACAAUUCUACUGAGGUGAUAGAUUAAAAAGUUACAAUGAUAAUAAUGACUGUUUUUUGCUCGAAUUGUGCUUUCCAGGAUUCAUUAGCUUGUUCAGUCUCUGUAUCAGCUUCACGGUAGGUGGGCCAGGAAUUAUCUCCACUAUUUCAUAGAUGGGGACACCAGGAGGGUCAAGGAGAGGAAGCAGACUCCGGCCGGGGUCAGGUGGCUGGGGUCCCAUCCUCAUUCUGUCACUGUCAUUGUCAAAGAGAACAACUGACUCCUUCUCUGAACUUAGUGUCCUGAUUUGAAUAUAUUUUGUAAUUUAUAAAAUUCUUUUAAUUUGAAUACAACAUAUCAGUUAAGGGCAGGCCUUUAUGUACUGAUAUGAAGGGUCUCCAAGAUAAGGUGCUAAGUACCGAGAGCAACAGUUGGCACCUGGGUAUAAUCUGAUGCUAUUUGAAUUUUGAAAAAUGGCUAUAUAUCCACACACACUUCUGAUUCUAUUUGUGCAUGACCUUCAGUGGGAGGAUAUACAGAGCAUGUUGUUGGCAG